GAAAGAUGAAAAGAACUUUGAAAAGAGAGUUAAAUAGUACGUGAAAUUGUUGAAAGGGAAACGAUUGAAGCCAGUCGUACCUGCGGGUAAUCAGCCUUUUGGGCAUGAUUCUGUGGAGCGUGAGGAGUUAAACGCCUUCAUGCCUGCAUAUUCGUGUACUUAGGGUGUACUUGCCUGUGUGGUUAGUUAACAUCAAUUUUGGUUAUCAUAAAAUGGUUGGAGGAAUGUAGCUUCGAUUUCGAUUGAAGUGUUAUA
rnacentral:rRNA from 1 species